rnacentral:rRNA from 1 species
GCGAAGCUCUUGAUCGAAGCCCCGGUAAACGGCGGCCGUAACUAUAACGGUCCUAAGGUAGCGAAAUUCCUUGUCGGGUAAGUUCCGACCUGCACGAAUGGCGUAAUGAUGGCCAGGCUGUCUCCACCCGAGACUCAGUGAAAUUGAACUCGCUGUGAAGAUGCAGUGUACCCGCGGCAAGACGGAAAGACCCCGUGAACCUUUACUAUAGCUUGACACUGAACACUGGUCCUUGAUGUGUAGGAUAGGUGGGAGGCUUUGAAGCGUGGACGCCAGUCUGCGUGGAGCCGACCUUGAAAUACCACCCUUUAAUGGCUGGUGUUCUAACGUAGACCCGUAAUCCGGGUUGCGGACAGUGUCUGGUGGGUAGUUUGACUGGGGCGGUCUCCUCCCAAAGAGUAACGGAGGAGCACGAAGGUUAGCUAAUCCUGGUCGGACAUCAGGAGGUUAGUGCAAUGGCAUAAGCUAGCUUGACUGCGAGAGUGACGGCUCGAGCAGGUGCGAAAGCAGGUCAUAGUGAUCCGGUGGUUCUGAAUGGAAGGGCCAUCGCUCAACGGAUAAAAGGUACUCCGGGGAUAACAGGCUGAUACCGCCCAAGAGUUCAUAUCGACGGCGGUGUUUGGCACCUCGAUGUCGGCUCAUCACAUCCUGGGGCUGAAGUAGGUCCCAAGGGUAUGGCUGUUCGCCAUUUAAAGUGGUACGCGAGCUGGGUUUAGAACGUCGUGAGACAGUUCGGUCCCUAUCUGCCGUGGGCGCUGGAGAAUUGAGGGGGGCUGCUCCUAGUACGAGAGGACCGGAGUGGACGCAUCACUGGUGUUCGGGUUGUCAUGCCAAUGGCACUGCCCGGUAGCUAAAUGCGGAAGAGAUAAGUGCUGAAAGCAUCUAAGCACGAAACUUGCCCCGAGAUGAGUUCUCCCUGAGACUAUAAGUCUCCUGAAGGAACGUUGAAGACGACGACGUUGAUAGGUCGGGUGUGUAAGCGCAGCGAUGCGUUGAGCUAACCGAUACUAAUGAACCGUGAGGCUUAACCUU